GUGAAAUUUAUAUAAAGAUGUCAGAGUAUCUUUAGAUUAUUAUAAAGAACUAAUAAAUGAAGAGUAAAAACCAGGAUUAGAUACCCUGCUAUUCUUCACAAUAAAAGAACAGGGUAGUAAAAGUUGUUCUUCAAACCCAAAGAUUUUGGCGGCAUUUUAUCCAAAUAGAGGAGCUUGUCCUGUAAUCGAUAAUCCCCGUUAUACCUUACCUUUUCUUGUUGAGCUUGUAUACCUCCGUUGUCAGAUUACUCUAUAAGGAUGUUUUCUGUAAAGAUAAUUUUAUUACUUCAGGUCAAGGUGCAGUUUAUGGAAAGGUAGAGAUGAGCUACAAUUUUUUUUAAAAAUACGAAUGUUUUUGUUAAAAUUAACUGAAGGUGGAUUUAUUAGUAAAUUGAUUUAAGGAAAAUUAAUUGAAUAAGGCAAUAAGAUGUGUACAUAUCGCCCGUCACUCUCCUUUUAAGAGGAGAUAA
rnacentral:rRNA from 1 species